UGGCUCUCGCAUCGAUGAAGAACGCAGCGAAAUGCGAUAAGUAAUGUGAAUUGCAGAAUUCAGUGAAUCAUCGAAUCUUUGAACGCACCUUGCACCCUUUGGUAUUCCGAAGGGUACACCCGUUUGAGUGUCAUUGUAAUCUCACUAUGUUCGACUUUGUUGUCGUUCGUAUGUGGACCUGGAUGUUGCCGUUGGUUUCCCGACGGCUCGUUUGAAAUGCCUGAGUGUACCCUGCUUUGCGGCGUAUUCGGUGUAAUACAUUGUCACCGGAGUUGAUCCUUUUGGGUCGCGUCUGCACGAGUGUGGCUCUAUGCUUUCCAACCGUCCCUUGACCGGGACAAUCUUUUUGACAAUUUGACCUCAAAUCGGGUGGGACUACCCGCUGA
rnacentral:misc_RNA from 1 species